UAUAAGUGCCAUUGUGCACAUGAGCAUAGAUCAAUCCACUGGACCAGAGACAACCUACUAUGACAUACAUUCCUGGAGACAACUGAUUCUGUCUUCUCCUGAAUUAUUCAUGGCCUGUAUCUCUCAGCUACCAAUGGUGCCAGGUCAAAGCUCUUCCACUCAUCCUGGAAUGUUGAUUGGCUUAAUCCUGUGUAGACACCACAGUUGCUGAGUUCAUCAGUACAAGAAUUCUGUCAUAUUCAGACAAUAUUUUAUAGCAAUCUUCUCAGACUUCUGGUUUUUCAAGUUUCCAUCCUUCUAUGUCAAUAUUUGAGGCUGACCACACCACAAUCAAUUAUUCUUUUGCUUUGGACAAGUAGUGAGAAUCUCUGUUAAUUAUUGUCUUUUAGAACAAGGAGCUUCUCUGAUUAAGGAUGAGAACUGUAAUAAUCUAUGGGUAUAAGGGUAAAAAUUUAAAAAUUGGCUUAAUUCUAUGUUUACUUAGCAAAAUUAGUUAGAUUCUCUUCUUGGGUGCAUGCUUUCACAUCUUUUUAUUUAUUUUUUAAUUGUUUUUAUUGAGCUAUAUAGAUAUUUUUUUCUCCACUCCACUCCUUCUUCCCUCCCCUUCUUCCCUCUCCCAUGAUCCCCAUGCUCCCAGUUUACUCAGAAAUUCUUGUCUUUUUCUAUUUUCGAUGUAGAUUAGAUCCACAUAUAUCUCUUUUAAGGACCUCUUUGUUGUUUGGGUUCUCUGGGAUUGUGAAUUGUAAGCUGGUUUUUCUUUGUCUUAUGCAUAAAAGCCACGUAUGAGUAAGUACAAAUUAUAUUUGUCUUUCUGGCUCUGGGUUACUGCUAUAGGAAUUCCUACAGCCAGUAGCUUUUAAGUUAUCCAACCACUUGAGCAAGGCCUGUUAUUACAUAUAUGCCAACGUACAGUGUGGGUCUGGCCUCUUUUCCAGUGGCAUGAUUCGGUUUCCAGUUUGUGCAGAGGAUUGUGAUCUGUGAGUCUACCCCUAAAUAAAUAACCUUUUAUUAUAUUCAAGUCUGAGUUAGUGUGAGAUUUCUUUUUAGAGUACUUCUUCAUCUGGUGCCCAACGUGGAUUUUGGACUCUGUAUCUACCAGGUGGAAAGCCUCCCACCCCCACCUGCUUGGCUAGCUUUUGCCUAAGCAGAUUUUUGUAAAGCCCCUGACACGUUGUAGCUAACUGCAUGCGGUUACUUGGAAAUUUCUGAAGUUUACACACAUCCCUUCCCCCACUGCUGUGUUCCUUGCCACAUGGCAACUUGUGCAGCUUCCUGUUUGUGCUCCCUGCCCAUUGGUUCUGGGCUUCUUUCUCCUUGUAACAAAUGAAUUUAAUUGAUUUUAACUUGUCAAGAAAAGCAUACUUUUUAGUAUUUAACCAGUACCAAGGCAGGAAACUAAAGCUGCUCGGGACUUUUCAUGUCACCACUGGUUGCAUAGCAACUAGUUGUGACUGUAAUUCUGACACCUACUGGACAAUGAAGAUUAUUACACCUAAAACAAUUUGACCUCAUGACAGGUAAUUUCAAUAAAUUUGAAAGUUAUAUAAUGGUAGACAACAAUACCAUUGAAACUUUUAGAAACUUUUUUGCUAAUACUCUGGACUGUGUUCUGUAAGGCUUAUAUGGUUAAUUGUGAUACAUUCAUUUAUUGGACAUUGGGACUCAGUUUUUUCUUCAUAUUAUAUCCUUAAGAAAAUGGUUUGAUAACAGAGCCAAGAAUGAGGAACAUUUAGAAAUGACACAGUCUUUACAGACAAAUAAUGAACAGCUAGCUGCCAGGAUUAAUACAAUCAAAAAUCAAAAGUUACCUGAGAAAAUUAAUAGUAUUGAAAAGGGUAACAUUAAUUUGACAGUCAAAAUUGAAUCCAUGUCAAAAAGUACUAAGAAAUUAUCUAAAAUAAUUCAUAUUGUUGUAUUUGACAAUCAAAAAUUGUUAAAAAGUUAUAGGUUAGCAGAUAGAGUAUCUCUCCAGGAAGGCAAUUGGAACACUAUCCAAAUAAUGUCCAAGGAUAAGAUGUUAUCUUUAAAGGAAAAACUUCAGAUGUUGGAAUCACACGUGCAGAAUGAGGACCAGAGACUAGGUGCCUCAAUGAAAUCACUAGCAAUAUAUACAAGUCAGGAAAUUCAGGCUUCACAAAAACAGAAGCAAAAACAUUUGAAAUGAUUGAGGAAAGUAUUGGAUCUGAUGAACAGGGAGAGAAGGUACAAGGAUAGGAUUUAACAUCACCAGUAGCUAUCUGAGUUGACUUACCAAGGGUUUUAGUUUCCUACCCUGUAAUUUACUCUGACAAAGUAUAAAGUUCUAAAGGCACAAAAGGAUCCAAAGAAGGUAGAUGAAUACAUAUAAGAAUGAAUGUUCUGAAAGAAAUUAAGCAAGCUAUAGUGACUUAUGACUUGCAUUCCAUAUUUGUUAGGGAGAUGGCAAAGACAUGGGCUUCUAGCAUUAAAACCAUGCCACAUGACUGGCUUCAGUUAGUUUCAUCGGUCCUAGUUAAUGGGCCACAAUUGAUGUUUAAAUGCUAUAUCAGAGAAAGGCUAAAAUUAGAACAGGGAAAAGCAAAAGUACUUGAGACUUCCAAAGGUCAAAUUCUUGGUGAUGGUAAUUAUGCUGACACAUAGGUUCAAGCUCUUUACGAUGAACAAAUCUUGUCCCCAUGCCACAAAGCAGCCUUAAAUGUUUGGGACAGGAUUCAAGAACUAGAGAAAUGAAUUGAAUCAUUUACCAGGGUUAAACAGGGCCAGAAAGAACCCUUUAGUGUCUUUUUAUAAAGAUUAACUAAGGCUGUACAAAUAGAUGAGUCCUUGAAUCUCUGGCUUUUGAAAAUGCCAGCUUAGAAUACAAAAAAAAAAAAAUAUGCUUGUUCCUUUAAAGAUUAGAUCAGCACUGAUAGAUGAAUGGAUCCCGCAUACAAUGAACAUUGAGACAUUUGACUGUAACGCUUAAUCUUGGGUAGGAGAAGCCAUUUCCAAAGUUAUGAGGAGACAUCAAAGUGCCAAAUGUUUUAAUUAUGGUAGAAUAGUACAUCUGAGAAGGGAUUGUAGACAAAGAAUUCCUAGGAAUAAUGUCUCCUCUGCAAAUGUCAAGAAUAGAAGAAUUUAGCCGGAUGGUGGUGGCACACGCCUUUAAUCCCAGCACUUGGGAGGCAGAGGCAGGUGGAUCUCUGUGAGUUCGAGGCCAGCCUGGUCUACAAGAGCUAGUUCCAGGACAGGAACCAAAAAGCUAUGGAGAAACCCUGCCUCGAAAAUAAAAAAAUAAAAAAUAACAAAAAAGAAGAAUUUAGCCUUCAGAUAUAUUUAGAAUGUGUGGCAAAGGUCAACAUUGGACCAAUCAAUGCAGAUCAACAAAAGAUAGACAAGACAACCUGAUAUCAUUGGGAAAUUCCUUUGCGGGGCCUUUCACAGUCCCCCAAGUCAAAAGUGGACCAGUCAUUCCCAGUCACUGUGAAAGUCAUGUCUCACUAGCAAAAUUAAAAAAAAUCUAGUGCCUUCUGGAAAAAAAAUACUGUUCUGGAUGAUGAAAUAAACAUGGAGGAUAAAUCAAAAAUUUCAAUAGAAAAUAGGAAACAUAUAUUCUGGCAGACUUCUAUAAAUGAUCAAAGGUUAAAGCUAAUAGUGCAUAUAAAUGGUAUUGUAAUUGUGGAUUUGAUAGAUACAAGUGCAGACCUGAUAUCAUUACUCCAGAAUCUGGGCAUACAAAUUGACCUCUUUCAAGAGUCAGAUGCUCAAUUACUAGGUAUUGUAACCAUAUCUCAAGAGUAACAAAGCAUUAAAUGGGUUGAAUGCAUAGGGUCAGAAGGACAGAGAGGAAUGCUGAGGCCAUAUGUGGCUAAUAUUGCAGUGAAUUUAUGAUAAAGUCACCUGAUGAAGCAAUAGAAUACCCAGAUUAACAUACCUGCAUUCCCAGAAACUCAUACUUCUGGGAAAAAUAUUAUAAGGUACUAUACACAAAGAUCACCAGCCAUUCUAGAUAUACAAGAACACAAAGCAACUAUCAGACCUUUAGAGGUACCAAAAACACUACCUUUAAAAUGGUUAAUUGAGAAGCCAAUAUGGAUUAAACAAUGGCCAUUAACAGAAGACAUAUUGCAGGCUUUAGAACAGUUGGUACUGGAGCAACUAGAUGCUCACCAUAUCGAAGAAUCAACCAGAUAUUGGAAUUCUCCUGUAAUGUUAAAAUGAAAUCUAGUAAGUGGAAAUGGUGAUAGAUCUAAGUGCUGUCAAAAGGUAGUUUAACCUAUGGGAUCUCCCUCUACAAUCUGGAAUUCCUCUGCCUUCUCUAUUGCCAAAAGAAUGGCCUCUUAUAGUUAUUGAUUUGAAAGAUGGUUUCUUCACUAUACCUUUAUGAGAAAAGAACAGAGAAAAAAUUGCCUUUAUAGUGCCUACUUAUAAUAAUUCUCAACCUACUAGAAGAUACCAGUGGACUGUCCUUUCACAGGGAAUGCUCAAUAGCCAUAUUCUAUGCCAAUAUGUUGUAAGUCAGCCAUUGGAAAUAAUAUGUAAAAUAAAUUCCUAAAUCUAAAAUUUACCAUUAAAUGAAUGGCAUUUUGCUAUCUGAUUCAAACAGAGAUACUUUAGAAAGAAUGUUUGAAGAAGUAAAGAAAGUUUGCCAAAAUGGGAAUUACAAAUUGCUCCUAAAAAAUACAGAGAGGAAAUUCUGUUAAUUACCUAGGUUAUAGAAUAGGUUUACAGAAAAUUAGAACACAAAAGGCACAAAUUAGGAGAGACUGCUUAUGACUCUUAAUGACAUUCAAAGAUGUUUAGGAGACAUUUCUAGUCUAUGACUUGCUGUUGGGAUAAUACCUAGUCUAAUAAUUCAUUUAAACAAAACCAUAGAUGGUGAUAAAGACUUGAAUAGUCCCAGAGAAUUAAUAACUGAAGAGGAAAACAAAUUGAUUAUUGUUGAAGAGAAAUUACAGGGGACACAUGGGGUUAGGGUGAAUCCAAAUCUUAAUUGCAUUUUAGUCAUAUUGCCUUUGAAAAUUUCUUCUACAGGAAUUUUAAUGCAAAGGGAAGAUAUUAUCAUAGGAUGGAUCUUUUUACCACAUAAACCAAGUAAAAAAUUUAAAACUUAUGUGGAAAAAAGUCACUGAAUUAAUUAUAAAAGGAAAAUUGAGAGUUUGUCAAUGAGCAGGUUUAGAUCCAGCAGAAAUUAUAGUGCCUUUCACUACUGAUAAAUUUUUAAAAGUAUGGGAAGACAAUGAACAUUGGCAAAGAGCUUAUGCUAAGUUAUUUAGGAGAUAUUAAUAGCAAUUAUCCCAAAAGUGAUAGAAUUAACCUUAUAAAGAGAAAUACUUGGAUCCUUCUCCGCAUAGGAUACACCAAUAACUGGAGCCUGUACAUUCUAUAGUGAUGCAAAUAAAUCAGGAAAGGCAGUUUUCAAAUCAGAAGAUUUAAGUUAGCCCUUAUAAUUCUGUUCAAAAGGCAGAAUUAUAUGCUGUUCUCAUGGUACUACGGGAUUUUAAAGAACUUCUUAAUAUAGUUACUGAUUCAAAAUAUGCAAAAAGAGAUUCUUGCAUUUUGAAACUGGUGAAUUUAUACUAAAUGCUACAGAAUUGCCUUCAUUAUUCAUAUAGGUUCAAGAUAUAAUCAGGAAUAGGCUCUGCCCCAUGUACAUAACAUACAUUCAAUCCCAUACAGGUCUACCAGGUCAAUGCAUACAUUGAUCAAAUAUUGGAAAUGUGUUGAAGGCCUCAGAAUGUCAUAAGAAACAUCAUGUCAACAGCAAAGAUUUAAAGAAAGAGUUUUUCUUACAUGGAAGAAAGCUAAGAAAAUUAUAAAGAUAUGUCCUACUUGUUCUUUCUAAAAAAACACUGCUACCUAGAGGGAGAAACCCAAAAGGUACUCAAAGGAAUAAAAUAUGGCAAACGUGUGUGUUCCACUUUGCAGAACUUGGAAAAUUGAAAAUGCUCACCACACCAUUGAUACUUAUUCAGGUUUUUAAUGGGAAACUACUUUGAGCUCAGAAAAGGCUGAUUCAGUAAUUACACAUUUAUUAGAAGUUAUGGCCAUCAUGGGUAUACCUGUACAAAUAAAGACAGAUAAUAAUCCCACAUAUGUCUCUAUGAAAAGGAAACAAUUUUUUGCUGAUUAUAAUAUAAAGCAUAUUACAGGUAUACCACACAAUCCUACAGGUCAGGCAUUUGUAGAAAUGUCAAGUCAAACUAUAAAGGAUAUGUUAAACAAACAGAAAAAGAUGAUGUAAAAUAACCCCAGAAAUUGGUUACAUAAUACUUUAUUAACCUUGAAUUUUCUUAACACUAAUGAAAAAGGGACAACAGCAAUAGAGAGACAUUGGAUAAUAGAAAAGUCUUCUGAAUUAAAUCAGCUGGUAUAUUUCAAGGAUGUGUUGACCUCACAAUGGAAGCAAGGAAAUGUGCUACAUUGGGGAAGGGAUUUUGCUCUUGUUUCAACAGGAGAAAAAAUGUUAUGGAUACCAUUAAAAUUAAUAAAAAUUUUGUUUGAAAAAAAGAAAUUUCUUGAGAAAAAGAAAUGGCUCAUCCAUAGACCUGACAACGAAUCAGGUGGUAAGAAAACCUCUUCAGGGUUGGGGCAGGUUUCUGUUCUUGUCUUUGCAGGAAAAUACUCAUCUUCAGAAAAUCAAGAGACCCUGGACAUCUAGAUACCUAAAGAAAAAGAGAUAAUUAUCCAGAUAACAUCACUAAGCAAAGAGAAUUAUCACUUGUGAGGACAUCUAAUCUGAGCCUUAGACUUCUGGACAGAAAGAUAUACUGCAAAUGUACCUCCCUCCUACAAAGCAGGCGUCAACUCCAAUGAGAAAGUAGUUGGUUACUCCAGCAAACCAUCAGGUCACUAUUGCAGCAGUGGGCCUGCCUUGCUUGUCAGGUAAUCUGAAAAAAAAGAGAAAUACCAGAAGUAAUUGACAUCAUACAUCACAUGGACUUAAAAGGUAUCUACAGAAUAUUCUGUUGAAACUCCAAAGAAUACACAUUGUACUCAGCAGCUUUUCUAAAAUAAUCCAUAACCUCAAACACAAAAUAAGAACAAAAUAAAAAAAUGCCUGAGCUAAAAGGCCAAACAGUAUUGUAAUUGAUAACAUUUCUGUGUAAUUCUUAUGGUCUGGAUGGCUGUGAAAUGAGUGAGCAGUCUCUGGUUAAACAAAUAUUGUAGAUAAAAUGAUUUCAAUCACUCCUUGUAGCCUAUCUGAUCAAAGUGCAAUAAAACUUAAAAACAGUGAAUGACUUAAAGAAAAAAAUCGAGAAAGAAAUAAAAAAAAACUCAAUGAAAAUAUUGCAAAUAGGAUAAAGACAUGCAUCAAAAAGAAUAUAUUACAUGACAAAGUAGACUUUAUCCAUGUAUGUAGGAUGGUUCAACAUAUGAAAGUCAAUAAAUGUAACAAAUCACAUAAACAGAUUUAAAGACAAAAUUUACAUUACAUCUCAAUGGUUGCAGAAAAAGUCAUUGUUAAAAUCCAAGAUAUCUUCAUGAUAAAAAUCAUAGAGAACAUAGGUCUAGAGGGAACAUACCUAAGCACAAUAAAAGCUAUAUACAAGAACCCAUAGGUACAUCAUAAUACUAAAUAGGAAAAAGCUUGGUGCAAUAUUACCAAAGUCAAGAGUAAUACACAGAUAUGUACUAUCCCUAUUCCUUUUCAAUGCUGUGCUCAUGUACUAUCUUGAACAAAAAGGUAAGAGAAGGAAAGUAAAGGGGGUAGAAAUAAGGAAAGCAGAUAUCCUUAUAUGCAGAUAAUAUGACACUGUACAUUAGAGAUGAGAAAACUUCUAAUAAUGAUAAAAAUAGUUCAACAGUGUGGCAGGUUGCAGAAUCACCUUGCACAAAUCAAAGCUGUUCUAUACAAGAACAACAAACAGCCAUAAAAGGCAAUAAUGGACCCAUUCCUAUUCAUAGUAUUUUCAAAGAAAAUAAAAUAUCUAGGAAUAAACCAACUAAGAAAGUGAAAGAUCUCUACACUGAAAACUUUAAACCUUGGAAAAACGACAGAGAAAAACAUUAGAAAGUGCAAAGGUAUCACAUGCUCUUGUAUGAUCAUGUAUAAUCAACAUUGUGAAAAUGAUUAUUAUAUUUUCAAAUGAUUAUAUUAUAUUUUCUAUAUUUACAGAUUCAAUGCAAUCCUAAUCAAAAUAUUUUUUCUGGUUCUUCAUAAAAAGAGAAAAUUCCAUAAAUUUGUAUGAAACCACAAAAGACUAAGUGUACACAAAACAAUUCUGAACAGAAAGAAUGACACCGGAGGUACUACAAUUUCAGAUCUUAAAGUAUAUUUAAAAAACACAGUAAUAAAUAAAAUAUGGUUUUGUCACAAAACAGACAUGCAGACCAAUGGAACAAGACCAAAGACCCAAACAUAAGCACAUGUAACUUCAGUCACUUAAUAGUCAACAAGCACAACAUCAAACACAUAACCUGGAAAACAAAAGAAAACAUCCUCAACAAAUGAUAUUGAGUAAAUGAAUAUCCACAUGCAGAAGAAUGAGAUUAGAUCUGUAUCUAUUAUCUUACACAAAAUCUAGAUACAAGUAGAUAAAAGUAUUAAACCUGAAACCCAAAACUCAGGAACUCUUAGCAGAAAAAAUAGACAAUACCGUUGACUAAGAACCAAGGUCAACAAUGGACAACAAUGGACAAGUGGGACUUCAUGAAACAAAAAGCUUCUGCAUGAUGAAAAGAAAUCUAUCAUGUAAAGAGGAAGCCACAGAAUGGGAAAGAAUCUUUGUUAGUUAUACUUCUAACAGAGAUUUAAUAUGCAGAAUAUCCAAAAAUGUUCAAAAUAAAAAAGUUAAAAAAAGACCCAUUUAGAAAUGGGCAUGAGACCUAAAUGACAGCUUUCAAAAGAUUUUUUAAGUGAGUAAAAUUGUUCAUUAAAUAUAGCAAUUAAAAAAAUACAAAUCAAGACAAUUUUGUGAUAUUUUUUAUUAUUCAAUAAGAAUGGAAAAGAUCAAGAAAACAACAGACAACAAAUGCCGGACAGGGGUGCAGGGCAAAAGAGACCCUCAUUCACUGUUGGUGGGAUUGUGAACUGUGACAGCCAUUAUGAAAAUCUGUGUGGAGAAUUCUCAAAAAGAUAAAAAUCCAUCUACCCGAUGACCCAAGUAGAGUAUUCCUUUGCUUAUGCUCAAAAGUUUGGAUACACUACUGCAUGUUCAACUUCCUAAGCAAUCUGGGAAAUGCAAAUCAAAUCAAAACAACUUUGAGAUACCAUCUUACACCUGUCAGAAUGGCUAAAAUCAAAAACACCAAUGAUAGCCUAUGCUAUAUGGAAUAAGGGGAACACUCACCCAUUGCUGGUGGGAAUGCAAACUUGUGCAAUCACUUUGGAAUUCUGUGUGGUGGUUUCUCAAGAAACUGGGAGUCAACCUACCUCAGGAUCCAGCAAUUCCACUCUUGGGAAUAUACCCAAGAGAUACCCAAUCAUACUACAAAAGCAUUUGUUCAACUAUGUUCAUAGUAGCACUAUUUGUAAUAGCCAGAACCUGGAAACAACCUAGGUGCCCCUCAAUGGAAGAAUGAAUAAGGAAAGUGUGGCACAUAUACGUAUUAGAGUUCUACUCAGGGAUGAAAAACAAUGACGUCUUGAAUUUUGCAUGCAAAUGGAUGGAAAUAGCAAACACUAUCCUGAGUGAGGUAACCCAGACCCAAAAAGAUGAAUAUGGUAUGUACUCACUCAUUAGUGGAUCCUAGCCAUAAACAAAGGACAUUGAGCCUUUAGUUCGUGAUCCUAGAGAUGCUAAAUAAUCAGGCGAACCCCCCAAAAAACAUAUAUAGAUCCUCCUGGAAAUUGGAAGAAGACAAAAAAGUUG